rnacentral:rRNA from 1 species
AUGGACCACCCUGUCCACCCCCUAGAUACGCCACUGCUGGCGGCCCUCCUCGUCCUGGUGCUUCUCAUCACGCUGGGCGGCGCGGCGGAGGCGCAGCCGCCGCUGGGCACCUGCGGCGCGCAGCUGAGCCAGCUGGCCCCGUGCGCGCGGUACAGCGUGCCGCCGCUGCCGGGGCAGGCGCUCCCGGCGCCCGGGCCGGAGUGCUGCUCCGCUCUGGGGUCCGUGUCCCGCGACUGCGCCUGCGGCGCCAUCGACAUCAUCAACAGCCUCCCCGCCAAGUGCGGCCUCCCGCGCGUCUCCUGCCGGUGA